rnacentral:lncRNA from 1 species
GAAAAUGGCGACGGGGGUUCCUCUUCCCCGACCAGAGCAAGAGUCAGAGUCAGAGCCAGAGCCAGCGCCAGAGCCAGAGUCAGGGCGUGCCAUGUUUCUGUGCCACAGAGAGCAAAGACGAAGGCGGCGGCGUUCCUCAUCUCCUCCCGGAUCAGAGACAGCGCGUGCCAUGCCUGCGCCUUAGAUCUCAUGAUUGGCAUGCGCACCAGACUUCUCAUAGAUCUACGGUCUCCUUGGGCGUUCUGGAGCUGAAAGGUGGCACCUUCCGCCGAGAUACGGUGGGUGAGUCUCUUCUCUGUCAUGACACGAAAUCCCCAUGUUCAAUCCUGUUAGUUGUGUGCCCCAGGUUUGUGUAGACUACUUUAAGUUGGUAUGUCAACUCAUUUUUUCAGUCUAUCAAACCAGGUCUACGUGUAUUCAGGUACUUGACAGCAGUCAUCCUCCUUUGGAAGCUGAAUAACGAAGUAGAUCUAUUCUUAUGAAAUAUAAUUGAGGAUGGAGUCUGUUGAGGCGAAGGCGAAGACGCUACCCUUCACGCGAAGCCUUCGUCGUUUCGCUGCACCAACGAAGGCGAGAUGGUCGGCGCAGUUGCCCUUUGUCAUCUCCAUCGCAAGACGAAGGCCAGAUUCAGACUCCGACGUAGUCUGUUAGUCCCGCGUCCUCGUCUCGCCCGGAGGCCCACGCGGAAUUUGGCCCACUGUAAGUCUGUAACGGGCCCCGCGUGGACAAGCAUAUUACGGGCCUCAUCUGUAAUAGCUUUUCUGUAAUAACGGUCUGUAACCUCCUUUUAUGAGAAUAUUAUAGGGAUAGUCCGGGUAUCCG